rnacentral:rRNA from 1 species
AGACGAGGGAUCCUAGCGUUGUUCGGAAUCAUUGGGCGUAAAGCGGAUGUAGGUGGCUUUGUAAGUCGGGUGUGAAAGCCCAGGGCUCAACCCUGGAAGUGCAUUCGAUACUGCGAAGCUUGAGUGCUGGAGAGGCUACUAGAAUACCUGGUGUAGUGGUGAAAUACGUAGAUAUCAGGUGGAAUACCGGAGGCGAAGGCGGGUAGCCAGCCAGACACUGACACUCAGAUCCGAAAGUGUGGGGAUCAAACAGGAUUAGAUACCCUGGUAGUCCACACCGUAAACGAUGGAUACUUGUUGUUGGAGGUAUUGACCCCUUCAGUGACGAAGCUAACGCGUUAAGUAUCCCGCCUGGGGAGUACGGUCGCAAGAUUAAA